UACGUAGGGUGCGAGCGUUAUUCGGAAUUACUGGGCGUAAAGCGUGCGUAGGCGGUUCGCUGUGUCCGAUGUGAAAGCCCCGGGCUUAACCUGGGAAUGGCCUUGGAAACUGGCGGGCUUGAGUGCGGCAGAGGGGGGUGGAAUUCCGCGUGUAGCAGUGAAAUGCGUAGAGAUGCGGAGGAACACCGAUGGCGAAGGCAGCCCCCUGGGUCGACACUGACGCUCAGGCACGAAAGCGUGGGGAGCAAACAGG
rnacentral:rRNA from 1 species